rnacentral:misc_RNA from 1 species
CUUUUCUUUGUUUCUUUCUUUGUUUUUAGGAACCUCAGCUGAGAGGUCUACUUACAUUGUCCAUUUGGAUAAGUCUUUUAUGCCUAAAAUCUUAGCGACUCACCAAAACUGGCAUUCUUACAUUAUUGAUACCGUCAAGAUUGAAGCUCCCACUACACAAAAUGACUACCAUCCACUUCCAAAGCUUCUUUAUUCUUAUGACAAUGUCAUCCAUGGAUUCAGUGCUGUUUUGUCUAAAGAUGAGCUUAAAUCGCUCGAGAAAUCGGCAGGUUUCCUUUCAGCUUAUAAAGAUAGGAGUGUUGAAUCUCACACAACUCAUACCUCAGAGUUUCUUAAGCUCAAUCCUGCAUCUGGACUAUGGCCAGCUUCUGGUUUUGGUCAAGAUGUUAUCAUCGGUGUACUCGACUCUGGUGUCUGGCCAGAAUCUGCUAGUUUUAGUGAUGAUGGAUUACCUGAAAUUCCAAAAAGGUGGAAGGGAAUUUGCAAGCCAGGAACAGAUUUCAAUUCUUCAUUGUGCAACAGGAAACUCAUUGGAGCGAAUUAUUUCAAUAAG